rnacentral:rRNA from 1 species
CUCACUAUAGGGCGAAUUGAAUUUAGCGGCCGCGAAUUCGCCCUUCGGGGAGAAAAGCAGGGGAUCGAAAGACCUUAUGCUUUUGGAGCGGCCGAUGUCUGAUUAGCUAGUUGGUAAGGUAAUGGCUUACCAAGGCAACGAUCAGUAGUUGGUCUGAGAGGACGACCAGCCACACUGGGACUGAGACACGGCCCAGACUCCUACGGGAGGCAGCAGUGGGGAAUUUUGGACAAUGGGCGCAAGCCUGAUCCAGCAAUGCCGCGUGAGUGAAGAAGGCCUUCGGGUUGUAAAGCUCUUUCAGUUGAGAAGAAAAGAUUGUGACUAAUAAUUGCAAUUCAUGACGGUAUCAACAGAAGAAGCACCGGCUAACUACGUGCCAGCAGCCGCGGUAAUACGUAGGGUGCGAGCGUUAAUCGGAAUUACUGGGCGUAAAGGGUGCGCAGGCG